UACGUAGGGUGCGAGCGUUGUCCGGAAUUACUGGGCGUAAAGAGCUCGUAGGUGGUUUGUCGCGUUGUUCGUGAAAACCUGAGGCUUAACCUUGGGCGUGCGGGCGAUACGGGCAGACUGGAGUACUGCAGGGGAGACUGGAAUUCCUGGUGUAGCGGUGAAAUGCGCAGAUAUCAGGAGGAACACCGGUGGCGAAGGCGGUUCUCUGGGCAUGUCCUGACGCUGAGGAGCGAAAGUGUGGGGAGCGAACAGG
rnacentral:rRNA from 1 species